AGUGCCUGAUGGAGAUCUGAAAAGAAAACAACCUUCGAAAAGUGACACUAAUGAGAGCACUGAGAAUAGUGAGAGCGCUGACUACAGUUCCGAAGAGUUAAGUAAAAGUAAUGAGAGCCGAUAGGUACAAGGUCAGAAGAUUACAUGAGAGAGGAACGCUGCGGAAAUAGACAUCAUAUCUUUACAAAUAAAUACAUCAAAAUAAAAAGAAGACAUUCAAAUUUAUGUACAUGCUUUUGUUGUCAGAUAAGUAAACGAAUUUAUUAAUUCAUA